GGGCGCUACAUUCGUGUUAUGAUUGUAGGUGGAUCCGUGUCAGGCACUCCAGUCCACCGUUCGUAGCUCCUCCUCCUCUUUGUCGGUGGUAAUUGUGUUGGUGAGCCCCUUUCCUUCCGGGGCCUUGUGUGGUUCAUGCCAGUUAUGUUAUUGUAUUUUGGAGUCUUGUGUCCUUUUGUAAAGGUAUAGCUAGGGCCUUGUCACUGGCAAGUGUUGUACUAUCUUUCUCUUAGAGGCCCCGUAGACAGUGGUAUGUCAGUUAGAACUUAUGUAUAAAGGUGUAUGUUUUGGGCGCUAUAAAACUUGUACACCAUGUUCCC
rnacentral:lncRNA from 1 species